CCUCGGGAGGCAGCAGUGGGGAAUAUUGGGCAACGGGCGCAAGCCUGACCCAGCAACGCCGCGUUAAGGAAGAAGGCUUUCGGGUUGUAAACUUCUUUUCUCAGGGACGAAGCAAGUGACGGUACCUGAGGAAUAAGCCACGGCUAACUACGUGCCAGCAGCCGCGGUAAUACGUAGGUGGCAAGCGUUAUCCGGAUUUACUGGGGGUAAAGGGCGUGUAGGCGGGACUGCAAGUCAGAUGUGAAAACCACGGGCUCAACCUGUGGCCUGCAUUUGAAACUGUAGUUCUUGAGUACUGGAGAGGCAGACGGAAUUCCUAGUGUAGCGGUGAAAUGCGUAGAUAUUAGGAGGAACACCAGUGGCGAAGGCGGUCUGCUGGACAGCAACUGACGCUGAGGCGCGAAAGCGUGGGGAGCAAACAGGAUUAGAUACCCUUGUAGUC
rnacentral:rRNA from 1 species